UCCCUAGUGGUCCAGUGGCUAAGACUCUGAGCUCCCAAUGCAGGCCAGCCAGGUUCGAUCCCUGGUCAGGGAA
rnacentral:tRNA from 1 species